UGAACUGAAGUACCUUGAAUGCGGCGUU
rnacentral:piRNA from 1 species